UUUUAUAGUUGAUACUACAACGGUGGUUUUUCAGGCCGCAGGUCUCGAUGGCUCGAGUGAAAAUU
rnacentral:tRNA from 1 species